AACGGAGGGUGCAAGCGUUGUUCGGAAUUACUGGGCGUAAAGCGCGUGCAGGUGGUUUUCUAAGUUUCGUGUGAAAGCCCACGGCUCAACCGUGGAACGGCACGGAAAACUGGAAGACUUGAAUACGGGAGAAGAGGGCGGAAUUCCCAGUGUAGAGGUGAAAUUCGUAGAUAUUGGGAGGAACACCGGUGGCGAAAGCGGCUCUCUAGACCGAUAUUGACGCUCAUACGCGAGAGCGUGGGUAGCAAACAGGAUUAGAUACCCUGGUAGUCCACGCUGUAAACGAUGGAUGCUAGGUGUUGCGGGAGUUGACCCCCGCAGUGCCGAAGUCAACACAUUAAGCAUCCCGCCUGGGAAGUACGGUCGCAAGACUAAA
rnacentral:rRNA from 1 species